UUCCCCGGUCGGUUAACGGCAAACCGGCGGAUUGUUGAUCCGUGACUGCAGGUUCGAGUCCUGCCCGGGGAGUC
rnacentral:tRNA from 1 species